rnacentral:rRNA from 1 species
CCUACGGGCGGCAGCAGUGGGGAAUAUUGGGCAAUGGACGCAACCCUGACCCAGCAACGCCGCGUGAAGGAUGAAGGCUUUCGGGUUGUAAAGUUCUUUUCACAGGGAAGAGGAAAAUGCGGUUCCUUUCGAAUUAGCCCCGGCGAACUUAGUUCCCACAGCCGCGGGAAGUCGUAGGUGGCGAACGUUAACCGGAUUGACCGGGGGUAAAGGGCGGGUAGGCGGGUUGGCAAGUCUGAUGUGGAACCCCGAGGCUUAACCGUGGAACUUCUUUUGAAACUGUUGGACUUGAGUUCAGGAGGGGCAGGCGGAAUUCCUAGUGUAGCGGUGGAAUGCGUAGAUAUUAGGAGGAACACCAGUGGCGAAGGCGGGUUGCUGGACAGUAACUGACGGUGAGGCGCGAAAGCGUGGGGAGCAAACAGGAUUAGAUACCCUAGUAGUC